rnacentral:miRNA from 1 species
UAUUGCGUUGGCCAAAAAGUUCAUUUGGGUUUUCCCGUACCAUCUUACAAAAGAAUCUGAAUGAACUUUUUGGCCAACCCAAU